rnacentral:rRNA from 1 species
UUAGGAAUUUUCCGCAAUGGGCGAAAGCCUGACGGAGCAACAUUGCGUGGGUGAUGAAAUGUCUUUGACAUGUAAAACCCUUUUGUAUGGGAAUAAAAUGAAGGUACCAUACGAAUAAGUGGCGGCUAAUCACGUGCCAGCAGCCGCGGUAAUACGUGAGCCACAAAUGUUACUCGGAAUCAUUGGGCGUAGAGCGUUUGUAGGGGGAUUGGAAAGUAGAGUGUUCCAGAUCACGGCUCAACCGUGAUAGUGCAUUCUAAACUUCCAAUCUGGAAGGCAGUAGAGGUCAAUAGAAUUCUCGGUGUAGGGGUAAAAUCCGUAGAUAUCGAGAGGAAUACCAAUAGUGAAGACAAUUGACUGGGCUGUUCUUGACCCUUAGAAACGAAAGCGUGGGGAGCAAACAGG